rnacentral:rRNA from 1 species
GAUGAACGCUAGCUACAGGCUUAACACAUGCAAGUCGAGGGGAAACGGCAUCGAAAGCUUGCUUUUGAUGGGCGUCGACCGGCGCACGGGUGAGUAACGCGUAUCCAACCUGCCCAUCACUUGGGAAUAACCUUGCGAAAGUAAGACUAAUGCCCAAUGACAUCCCACGAAGGCAUCCGAAUGGGAUUAAAGAUUUAUCGGUGAUGGAUGGGGAUGCGUCUGAUUAGCUUGUUGGCGGGGUGACGGCCCACCAAGGCAACGAUCAGUAGGGGUUCUGAGAGGAAGGUCCCCCACAUUGGAACUGGGACACGGUCCAAACUCCUACGGGAGGCAGCAGUGAGGAAUAGUAGUCAAUGGGCGAGAGCCUGAACCAGCCAAGUAGCGUGCAGGAUGACGGCCCUAUGGGUUGUAAACUGCUUUUAUAAGGGAAUAAAGUGGGUCACGUGUGACUUUUUGCAUGUACCUUAUGAAUAAGGACCGGCUAAUUCCGUG